UGCGUGUAUAUGUAUGUGUGUAUGUACAUGUGUGUAUAUGCAUAAACAUAUACAUACACACAUAAACACACAUGCUGCACACACACAC
rnacentral:miRNA from 14 species